GGUAAACUGUCAGACAUCAAAUCGACAUGGUCCUCUGGCCCUACCUCCCACACGCAAGCCUCUCUGUCUCAUGAACUGUGGAAGGUGCCCAGAAACAGUACUGCACCCACGAGGCCACCUCCAGGGUUAACCAAUCCCAAGCCCUCCUCCACCUGGGGUGCCAGCCCCCUCGGCUGGACCAGCUCCUACUCCUCGGGUUCUGCCUGGAGCACCGACACCUCAGGAAGAACCAGCAGCUGGCUCGUUCUUCGAAACCUCACUCCCCAGGUGCAAUAUGGUGCCCCUGCAUCACUGAGCAUGAUCCAGGGAGGGUUCCCGCUUGGCCCCCAAUGCAGAUGAGGCUGUCUGGUGGGGCAGGAUAGUUGGGGGUUCUUGGUCAGGGUCCAUAAGUGACGCUGCAUGGGAGGAGAUGAGCAAGUGCCAGGAUUGGCUCCAGCAGCGGCAGCAGAUGGGGCCCAGGGGCCUCUUUUAACCAUGUUCCUGGUGAAUUGUUUGUUUACCCACCAGAGGCUGGAAAAGUGUGCUCUGUAAAUAGAAUUGUUUA
rnacentral:sRNA from 1 species